rnacentral:rRNA from 1 species
AAAACAUCGCCUCUUGAUUAAAAAUAAGAGGUCCAGCCUGCCCAGUGACAAAUGUUCAACGGCCGCGGUAUCCUAACCGUGCGAAGGUAGCGUAAUCACUUGUUCUUUAAAUGAGGACUAGUAUGAAUGGCACCACGAGGGUUAUACUGUCUCCUCUUUCCAAUCAGUGAAACUAAUCUCCCCGUGAAGAAGCGGGGAUAGAAUUAUAAGACGAGAAGACCCUAUGGAGCUUUAAAAUUCUCUUCAGGCGCCAGACUACUCUUACGGGUCACCAACCCCUUUACACUUACCCACGGCACCAUGAAAAUGACUUUUAGGUUGGGGUGACCACGGAGCAUAAAAAAUCCUCCACGCUGAACUAGGUCUCCAAACCUUGAGCGCAGGGCUACAACCCAAAGCACUAAAAAACUAACAUCCAUUGACCCAAUAUGUUUGAUCAACGAACCAAGUUACCCUAGGGAUAACAGCGCAAUCCACUUCAAGAGUCCCUAUCGACAAGUGGGUUUACGACCUCGAUGUUGGAUCAGGGUAUCCCAGUGGUGCAGCCGCUACUAAUGGUUCGUUUGUUCAACGAUUAAAACCCUACGUGAU